AGACAUUUCGCGCUCAUUCACUUCCGCCUCCCUCUCGGUCGCAACUGUUUUGCAUCUUGUUUCAUCGCGUUUCACGAUGCCCCGCUUCAACUACGAUUCCACCACGGCCGUCUGCAUCGCCACGGAUGACAAACGAUUUAUUAGUAAUAUCACUGUUUAUAUCUUAUCUGGAUAAGAUACUCAAUUAGACAUCAAGAUGACUGUCACUCGUACACUCAAAAGAUACUAAGAGUAAGUAUUAAAAAUAUUAAUAAA